rnacentral:rRNA from 1 species
GAUGAACGCUGGCGGUAUGCUUAACACAUGCAAGUCGAACGGACUCUUCGGAGUUAGUGGCGGACGGGUGAGUAACGCGUGAGAAUCUGGCUUUGGGUUCGGGACAACCACUGGAAACGGUGGCUAAUACCGGAUGUGCCGAGAGGUAAAAGAGAAAUUGCCUGAAGAUGAGCUCGCGUCUGAUUAGCUAGUUGGUGAGGUAAAGGCUCACCAAGGCAGCGAUCAGUAGCUGGUCUGAGAGGAUGACCAGCCACACUGGGACUGAGACACGGCCCAGACUCCUACGGGAGGCGGCAGUGGGGAAUUUUCCGCAAUGGGCGAAAGCCUGACGGAGCAAUACCGCGUGAGGGAAGAAGGCUCUUGGGUUGUAAACCUCUUUUCUUAGGGAAGAACAAUAUGACGGUACCUAAGGAAUCAGCAUCGGCUAACUCCGUG